UACGUAGGGGGCAAGCGUUUGUCCGGAAUCAUUGGGCGUAAAGAGCGUGUAGGCGGUUCGGUAAGUCCGCUGUGAAAGUCCAGGGCUCAACCCUGGAAAGCCGGUGGAAACUACCAAGCUUGAGUACGGUAGGGGCAGAGGGAAUUUCCGGUGGAGCGGUGAAAUGCGUAGAGAUCGGAAAGAACACCAACGGCGAAAGCACUCUGCUGGGCCGACACUGACACUGAGAGACGAAAGCUAGGGGGAGCGAAUGGG
rnacentral:rRNA from 1 species